rnacentral:lncRNA from 1 species
UUCCUCUCUUCCUCCUCCUGGCUCCCAACUUGUUUCUUCUUUCUUAUGUGCCAGUUGCUGUGCUGAGGAUAUGAAGCUAAAUAAGCCUCUCUCCUUUUCCUCAUGAAGCUCAAAAGCUUAGAUAGGAAGCAAAUAAAUAUAAUAUAGCAUGAUAAUUGCAAGAAUAUUAACAUGUCCAAAAGUUAAAGAGAGAAAGCAUAAAGAAGAAAGUGAUGAGCUCUGAGGGGUUGAGGGCUUUUGCUCUCUCUUAAAUUGAUUGCUAUUUAGCACCCAUCAAAAGCUCUGCAGAGGGGACCAUCAUUAACGGCAUUUACGAAGACAUCCACUUAUUCCAACAGCCAUCUCAGAUCCUUUUUUGGAAGUACUAGGGUAGAGAGGGUAAAUAAUGAAUAAACAUGUGAAACAUUUCCUUUAUUUUGAUCAGCAGGAGGAAGACCAACGCUUCUUAUCAUAAACACAAGUUCCUGCUAUACACAACACAUCCUUGAAUUCUAGGGAAGCCAAGAUGUACAUGAAAUGACUGCAGGUCUUAAAGGUCUUGAAUCUAAUUGUGGCACUGGGGCAUAUGUAGAGAUAAAUAUCACGUAGCAUAUGCUAAGGUGAUUUCGAAGAUCUAUUCUAUCUUAAGACACUGUAAGUCUAAUUAUUAAAUGAGCAAUACAGACAUUUAGUCAAAGUGUGUUCUGUUUUGAGGGAGCUGCUUAAAUACUGGUAU